rnacentral:rRNA from 1 species
GACGAACGCUGGCGGCGUGCUUAACACAUGCAAGUCGAACGGAAAGGCCCUGCUUGCCGGGUACUCGAGUGGCGAACGGGUGAGUAACACGUGGGUGAUCUGCCCUGCACUUCGGGAUAAGCCUGGGAAACUGGGUCUAAUACCGGAUAGGAGCCAUUUUUAGUGUGAUGGUUGGAAAGUUUUUUCGGUGUAGGAUGAGCUCGCGGCCUAUCAGCUUGUUGGUGGGGUAAUGGCCUACCAAGGCGGCGACGGGUAGCCGGCCUGAGAGGGUGGACGGCCACAUUGGGACUGAGAUACGGCCCAGACUCCUACGGGAGGCAGCAGUGGGGAAUAUUGCACAAUGGGCGCAAGCCUGAUGCAGCGACGCCGCGUGGGGGAUGACGGCCUUCGGGUUGUAAACGCCUUUCGCUAGGGACGAAGCUUUUUGUGACGGUACCUAGAGAAGAAGCACCGGCUAACUACGUG